rnacentral:rRNA from 1 species
UGAUAUGCUUGUCUCAAAGAUUAAGCCAUGCAUGUCUCAGUGCAAGCCAAAUUAAGGUGAAACCGCGAAUGGCUCAUUAAAUCAGUUAUGGUUCCUUGGACUUAAAAAUUUACUUGGAUAACUGUGGUAAUUCUAGAGCUAAUACAUGCACUCAGUCCCGACCAGCGAUGGAAGGGACGCUUUUAUUAGAUCAAAACCAAUCGGUGGGUUUCCCGCCGUGUCUUUUGGUGACUCUGGAUMACUUUGGGCGGAUCGCACGGUCCUUGCACCGGCGACGUACCCUUCAAAUGUCUGCCUUAUCAACUUGCGAUGGUAGGCUSSUGCGCCUACCAUGGUUGUAACGGGUGACGGGGAAUCAGGGUUCGAUUCCGGAGAGGGAGCCUGAGAAACGGCUACCACAUCCAAGGAAGGCAGCAGGCGCGCAAAUUACCCACUCCCGGCACGGGGAGGUAGUGACGAAAAAUAACGAUACGGGACUCAUCCGAGGCCCCGUAAUCGGAAUGAGAACACUUUAAAUCCUUUAUCGAGUACCUAUUAGAGGGCAAGUCUGGUGCCAGCA